ensembl:miRNA mir-789.1 ncRNA
UCCCUGCCUGGGUCACCAAUUGU